UCGCCAGGAUCUGGGCACACUUGAUUCGUGUCGGGAGAGCCAGCCCACCAGCCCACUGCAUGCUCCCUGCUGUUCUGCUGUUCUUCAGACUCAGUCCAUCCAGCCCCACGAGCCCCCCCCACCAUGUGACCUUAGCGGCUCUGAAACAUUUGCCAGUCUGACAGGUUUAAGCCAACAGAUACCUUGCAGCCCCAAUGUAACAACUCUGGCGAAACCUGCACUACGGUCGGCAUGGAGCAAAAACAGCCUCUCAACAACACAAGGAGGGUUGCCUGGGGUUCAUACCCAAGAGGGAGACAUUAGUGUGCUCAUUCACCAGCAAGACCAAAGGUUGGCAGACUGUGGACCUCAGCCUUUUAUAACGUUGCUUUUAUAAAU